rnacentral:rRNA from 1 species
AGAAUCAACGCUGGCGGCGUGCCUAACACAUGCAAGUCGAACGAGAAAGUGGAGCAAUCCAUGAGUAAAGUGGCGCACGGGUGAGUAACACGUGACUAACCUACCCUCGAGUGGGGAAUAACCUCGGGAAACCGGGGCUAACACCGCAUAACAUCUACGGAUCAAAUGCGUAAGCAGCUUGAGGAGGGGUCGCGGCUGAUUAGCUAGUUGGCGGGGUAAUGGCCCACCAAGGCAGUGAUCAGUA